ensembl:lncRNA
CGAACACUCAACAGGUAUUAACUGGAGGAAUAACUCAACAAUGGAAGAUGUGUCUUAAAGAAGAAAUAAGAAAGGGCUCCAUGUGCCAGGCACUGUGCUGAAGCUUGAGGAUCAGUAGUGAGAAAAACAGAAAGAAAUCCCUGUUCUCCUGGUGGAAAUGAAAAGCACUAAACAAAGUUUGGGAGGAAUUACAAACAACACUGCCAUGUACACCCCACUGACACAUGUACUUUUUGCACAGUUGAGAGAACAUACCCUCAGGAUAAAUUCUUCACAGUGGAAUUGCAGGGUCAAAGGCACUGAGGCUGUGCCACGUCAUGACGAACUUUGUCUCCACGGAGAAGACUUAAAACUCAGCCACGGUCCCCCUUGAGCGCUCCUCUGGUUUGCAUUAGAAAUGCGUCUUCUCUGAUUCAGGCAUCUACUUCGGUGUACAGAGUGAGGUGGGGAAGUGAUUCAAGGCGAUCCUGUUGACUCUGUGUAGCUCAAGAUGUCAGCUCCAGGGGUGUGUGGCCAGCGAGGCUCUGGGCCCCCAUGGAAACAGAGAAGAUGUAGCAGCCUUUGUGCGAGGCCUGGGCAGGGGCUCCCCACCUUCUCUCCUCAGAUCAAGAGUGCUGUCCAUUUCCAGGCAGGAAAAUACUUGGCUGCUCUUUGAUAACCGCAAAGAGUAGACGGGAAGACAGCAAGGACAUUGAAAGAAAAAUGGAGAAUGGAGGACUUGUAUUAGAGAGGGAGGAAAACAAGUUUCAAAUGGAAUUAGUCAAAUACAUGCACGCUCUCAGAACCAAUAGGGCUUUUUUUCUACUUUGACCAUAGA